GGGCACGAUACGCCGAAUCUCUCGCAAGAGAGAACGGGGGAACCGGUAGUACGGGGCGGAUCUCGCGGCGGACGCGAGUAAGGGACUCUCGACCCGAGCCCGACAGCUAACCUCGUAGGCGAACGAGAGAGCGAAU
rnacentral:sRNA from 1 species